rnacentral:rRNA from 1 species
UACGUAGGGACCGAGCGUUGUCCGGAUUCAUUGGGCGUAAAGAGCUCGUAGGCGGCCACUCAAGUCGAAUGUGAAACCUCGAGGCUUAACCUCGAGCCUGCAUUCGAUACUGGGCGGCUAGAGUCUGGUAGGGGGGAUCUGGAAUUCCUGGUGUAGCGGUGGAAUGCGCAGAUAUCAGGAGGAACACCGGUGGCGAAGGCGGUGAUCUGGGCCGACACUGACGCUGUAGAGCGAAAGCGUGGGGGAGCGAACAGG